rnacentral:rRNA from 1 species
CCUACGGGUGGCUGCAGUGGGGAAUAUUGGACAAUGGGGGCAACCCUGAUCCAGCAAUACCGCGUGAGGGAGGAAGGCUCUUGGGUUGUAAACCUCUUUUCUCAGGGAAUAAGCAAGUGAAGGUACCUGAGGAAUCAGCAUCGGCUAACUCCGUGCCAGCAGCCGCGGUAAUACGGAGGAUGCAAGCGUUAUCCGGAAUGAUUGGGCGUAAAGCGUCCGCAGGUGGCAGUGUAAGUCUGCUGUUAAAGAAUGAGGCUUAACCUCAUCAGAGCAGUGGAAACUACACAGCUAGAGUGCGUUCGGGGUAGAGGGAAUUCCUGGUGUAGCGGUGAAAUGCGUAGAGAUCAGGAAGAACACCGGUGGCGAAAGCGCUCUACUAGGCCGCAACUGACACUGAGGGACGAAAGCUAGGGGAGCGAAUGGGAUUAGAUACCCUUGUAGUC